rnacentral:ncRNA from 1 species
AUUUAUAAGAAUAUGAUGUUGGUUCAGAUUAAGCGCUAAAUAAGGACAUGACACAUGCGAAUCAUACGUUUAUUAUUGAUAAGAUAAUAAAUAUGUGGUGUAAACGUGAGUAAUUUUAUUAGGAAUUAAUGAACUAUAGAAUAAGCUAAAUACUUAAUAUAUUAUUAUAUAAAAAUAAUUUAUAUAAUAAAAAGGAUAUAUAUAUAAUAUAUAUUUAUCUAUAGUCAAGCCAAUAAUGGUUUAGGUAGUAGGUUUAUUAAGAGUUAAACCUAGCCAACGAUCCAUAAUCGAUAAUGAAAGUUAGAACGAUCACGUUGACUCUGAAAUAUAGUCAAUAUCUAUAAGAUACAGCAGUGAGGAAUAUUGGACAAUGAUCGAAAGAUUGAUCCAGUUACUUAUUAGGAUGAUAUAUAAAAAUAUUUUAUUUUAUUUAGUUCCGGGGCCCGGCCACGGGAGCCGGAACCCCGAAAGGAGAAAUAUUAAAUAUUUAUAAUAAUAAUAAUAAUAAUAUAUAUAUAUAAAUUGAUUAAAAAUAAAAUCCAUAAAUAAUUAAAAUAAUGAUAUUAAUUACCAUAUAUAUUUUUAUAUGGAUAUAUAUAUUAAUAAUAAUAUUAAUUUUAUUAUUAUUAAUAAUAUAUUUUAAUAGUCCUGACUAAUAUUUGUGCCAGCAGUCGCGGUAACACAAAGAGGGCGAGCGUUAAUCAUAAUGGUUUAAAGGAUCCGUAGAAUGAAUUAUAUAUUAUAAUUUAGAGUUAAUAAAAUUAAUUAAAGAAUUAUAAUAGUAAAGAUGAAAUAAUAAUAAUAAUUAUAAGACUAAUAUAUGUGAAAAUAUUAAUUAAAUAUUAACUGACAUUGAGGGAUUAAAACUAGAGUAGCGAAACGGAUUCGAUACCCGUGUAGUUCUAGUAGUAAACUAUGAAUACAAUUAUUUAUAAUAUAUAUUAUAUAUAAAUAAUAAAUGAAAAUGAAAGUAUUCCACCUGAAGAGUACGUUAGCAAUAAUGAAACUCAAAACAAUAGACGGUUACAGACUUAAGCAGUGGAGCAUGUUAUUUAAUUCGAUAAUCCACGACUAACCUUACCAUAUUUUGAAUAUUAUAAUAAUUAUUAUAAUUAUUAUAUUACAGGCGUUACAUUGUUGUCUUUAGUUCGUGCUGCAAAGUUUUAGAUUAAGUUCAUAAACGAACAAAACUCCAUAUAUAUAAUUUUAAUUAUAUAUAAUUUUAUAUUAUUUAUUAAUAUAAAGAAAGGAAUUAAGACAAAUCAUAAUGAUCCUUAUAAUAUGGGUAAUAGACGUGCUAUAAUAAAAUGAUAAUAAAAUUAUAUAAAAUAUAUUUAAUUAUAUUUAAUUAAUAAUAUAAAACAUUUUAAUUUUUAAUAUAUUUUUUUAUUAUAUAUUAAUAUGAAUUAUAAUCUGAAAUUCGAUUAUAUGAAAAAAGAAUUGCUAGUAAUACGUAAAUUAGUAUGUUACGGUGAAUAUUCUAACUGUUUCGCACUAAUCACUCAUCACGCGUUGAAACAUAUUAUUAUCUUAUUAUUUAUAUAAUAUUUUUUAAUAAAUAUUAAUAAUUAUUAAUUUAUAUUUAUUUAUAUCAGAAAUAAUAUGAAUUAAUGCGAAGUUGAAAUACAGUUACCGUAGGGGAACCUGCGGUGGGCUUAUAAAUAUC